rnacentral:rRNA from 1 species
UACGUAGGGUGCAAGCGUAAUCGGAAUUACUGGGCGUAAAGCGUGCGCAGGCGGUGAUGUAAAGACAGAUGUGAAAUCCCCGGGCUCAACCUGGGAACUGCAUUUGUGACUGCAUCGCUGGAGUGCGGCAGAGGGGGAUGGAAUUCCGCGUGUAGCAGUGAAAUGCGUAGAUAUGCGGAGGAACACCGAUGGCGAAGGCAUCCCCUGGGCCUGCACUGACGCUCAUGCACGAAAGCGGUGGGGAGCAAACAGG